GGCCAUAUCAUAUUGAAACACCAGUUCCCAUACAAACACCAAAAUUAAGCAAUAUUGGGUCUGGUCAGUACUUAGAUGAAUGACUGCUUGGGAAUACCAGGUGCUGAAA